rnacentral:lncRNA from 1 species
UUUUGUGUGUGCAGUUUUUAUUUUUAUUUUUAAUAUGUAUGUUAGAUCAGUUCAAUUAGAACUGAUCUAAUAAAAUUUAUUAUAAUAAUAAAUUUACCACAAUAUUUUUUUUUUAGUUUUAUUUUUUUAAUGUGUUUGUUAGAACAGUUCAAUUAGAACAGAUCUAACAAAGUUUACCAUAAUAACAAAUUUGCCACCAUCUUGCUUAUUA